UAGUCCUAGCCGUAAACGAUGAGCACUAGUCCGUGGGAACUUCCACAUUUUCUCGGACGUAGCGAAAGUGUUAAGUGCUCCGCCUGGGGAGUAUGGUCGCAAGGUUGAAACUCAAAGGAAUUGACGGGGGCUCACACAAGCGGUGGAGGAUGUGGCUUAAUUCGAGGCUACGCGAAGAACCUUAUCCUAGUCUUGACAUAGUUGAGAAUACCUCUGAAAGGAGGUAGUGCCUUUCGGGAGCUCUUCUACAGGUGCUGCAUGGCUGUCGUCAGCUCGUGUCGUGAGAUGUCGGGUUAAGUCCCUUAACGAGCGAAACCCUUGUCUCUAGUUGCCAGCGUGUAAUGGCGGGGACUCUAGAGAGACUGCCGGUGUUAAACCGGAGGAAGGUGGGGAUGACGUCAAGUCCUCAUGGCCUUUAUGACUAGGGGCUGCACACGUCCUACAAUGCAACGUACAAACGGAAGCAAACCCGUGAGGGGGAGCAAACCCGAAAAAGCGUUGCUCAGUUCGGAUUGCAGGCU
rnacentral:rRNA from 1 species